AUUGAACGCUGGCGGCAUGCUUUACACAUGCAAGUCGAACGGCAGCGCGGGCUUCGGCCUGGCGGCGAGUGGCGAACGGGUGAGUAAUGCAUCGGAACGUGCCCAGUAGUGGGGGAUAGCCCGGCGAAAGCCGGAUUAAUACCGCAUACGACCUGAGGGUGAAAGCGGGGGACCGAAAGGCCUCGCGCUAUUGGAGCGGCCGAUGUCGGAUUAGCUAGUUGGUGGGGUAAAGGCUUACCAAGGCGACGAUCCGUAGCUGGUCUGAGAGGACGACCAGCCACAGUGGGACUGAGCCACGGCCCAGACUCCUACGGGAGGCAGCAGUGGGGAAUUUUGGACAAUGGGGGCAACCCUGAUCCAGCCAUGCCGCGUGCGGGAAGAAGGCCUUCGGGUUGUAAAACGCUUUUGUUCGGGAAGAAAUCCUCUGGGCUAAUACCCCGGGGGGAUGACGGUACCGGAAGAAUAAGCACCGGCUAACUACGUG
rnacentral:rRNA from 1 species